UCACUACUCAUUUUUUGUAUU
rnacentral:piRNA from 1 species